CGAGUGAAGCGGCAAAAGCUCAAAUUUGAAAUCCGGUACCUUUGGUGCCCGAGUUGUAAUUUGAAGAUAGUUUUCUGGUGCUGGCCCUUGUCUAUGUUCCUUGGAACAGGACGUCACAGAGGGUGAGAAUCCCGUCUGGCGGGGUGUCCAGUGCUUUGUAGAUUUCUAUCGACGAGUCGAGUUGUUUGGGAAUGCAGCUCUAAGUGGGUGGUAAAUUCCAUCUAAAGCUAAAUAUUGGCGAGAGACCGAUAGCGAACAAGUACAGUGAUGGAAAGAUGAAAAGAACUUUGAAAAGAGAGUGAAAAAGUACGUGAAAUUGUUGAAAGGGAAGGGUAUUAGAUCAGACUUGGUGUUUUGUGAUUAUCUUCCCUUCUUGGGUUGUGCACUCGCAUUUCACUGGGCCAGCAUCGGUUCGGGUGGUAAGAUAAUGACAUUGGAACGUGGCACUGCCUUCGGGUGGUGUGUUAUAGCCCUUGUUGAUGUUGCCUACCUGGACCGAGGACUGCGGCUUUGCCUAGG
rnacentral:rRNA from 1 species